rnacentral:tRNA from 1 species
GCCGGGGUGGCUCAGUGGUAGAGCACCUCCUUGGUAAGGAGGUGGUCGUGGGUUCAAUUCCCACCCUCGGCU